AGUGAACGCUGGCGGUAGGCCUAACACAUGCAAGUCGAACGGCAGCACAGUAAGAGCUUGCUCUUACGGGUGGCGAGUGGCGGACGGGUGAGGAAUACAUCGGAAUCUACUUUUUCGUGGGGGAUAACGUAGGGAAACUUACGCUAAUACCGCAUACGACCUACGGGUGAAAGCAGGGGAUCUUCGCACCUUGCGCGAUUGAAUGAGCCGAUGUCGGAUUAGCUAGUUGGCGGGGUAAAGGCCCACCAAGGCGACGAUCCGUAGCUGGUCUGAGAGGAUGAUCGGCCACACUGGAACUGAGACACGGUCCAGACUCCUACGGGAGGCAGCAGUGGGGAAUAUUGGACAAUGGGCGCAAGCCUGAUCCAGCCAUACCGCGUGGGUGAAGAAGGCCUUCGGGUUGUAAAGCCCUUUUGUUGGGAAAGAAAAGCUGUAGGUUAAUACCCCGCUGUUCUGACGGUACCCAAAGAAUAAGCACCGGCUAACUUCGUG
rnacentral:rRNA from 1 species